rnacentral:rRNA from 1 species
GACGAACGCUGGCGGCGUGCCUAAUACAUGCAAGUAGAACGCUGAAGAGAGGAGCUUGCUCUUCUUGGAUGAGUUGCGAACGGGUGAGUAACGCGUAGGUAACCUGCCUUGUAGCGGGGGAUAACUAUUGGAAACGAUAGCUAAUACCGCAUAACAAUGGAUGACCCAUGUCAUUUAUUUGAAAGGGGCAAAUGCUCCACUACAAGAUGGACCUGCGUUGUAUUAGCUAGUAGGUGAGGUAACGGCUCACCUAGGCGACGAUACAUAGCCGACCUGAGAGGGUGAUCGGCCACACUGGAACUGAGCCACGGCCCAGACUCCUACGGGAGGCAGCAGUAGGGAAUCUUCGGCAAUGGGGGCAACCCUGACCGAGCAACGCCGCGUGAGUGAAGAAGGUUUUCGGAUCGUAAAGCUCUGUUGUAAGUCAAGAACGAGUGUGAGAGUGGAAAGUUCACACUGUGACGGUAGCGUACAAGAAAGGGACGGCUAACUACGU